rnacentral:rRNA from 1 species
UAGGGAAUAUUGGUCAAUGGAGGAGACUCUGAACCAGCCAUGCCGCGUGCAGGAAGACGGCCUUCUGGGUUGUAAACUGCUUUUAUCAGGGGACAAAACGGUCCAUGCGUGGAUCACUGAGUGUACCUGAGGAAUAAGCACCGGCUAACUCCGUGCCAGCAGCCGCGGUAAUACGGAGGGUGCAAGCGUUGUCCGGAUUUAUUGGGUUUAAAGGGUGCGUAGGCGGCGCAGUAAGUCAGUGGUGAAAUCUUCCGGCUCAACCGGGAAACUGCCAUUGAUACUGCUGUGCUUGAGUAUAGUAAAGGUAGGCGGAAUUGAUAGUGUAGCGGUGAAAUGCAUAGAUAUUAUCAAGAACACCGAUAGCGUAGGCAGCUUACUAGACUAUAACUGACGCUGAGGCACGAAAGUGUGGGUAUCGAACAGGAUUAGAUACCCCCGUAGUCC